AUUGCCUGCAGAUUGGUGAAAGGGGUGGGAAUCCAGGGUGCCGGUCAUUGCGCCAGGGAUCCCGUGCACCUGGAACCAAGGGGUGGAGGUUUACAGCAAGGAGUUGAAGUCCGACGAACCGGCUUAGAGUCCCAAUGUCGUCGAGCGGGACAGUGUUUUGGCGACUGGGAAUUCCACUCCAAACCUAGGUUCAGCUGAAUCCAGUAAAUAUCUGCAGCACGGUCAGGCUUGGAUGUUGUGGGGGUGUUGCUGGAAUCAACCCUUUACCACUAUCAAGAUAUUGGCUGUUCUUUCCAACAACUGCUGUAUGGUGUCACCUAUGGAAAUGUUCCUGUUAGUGAUGUAGACACUCAAAAUCCACAGUACAAUAGAGAUGCAACUGUUAGCAGGUUCAGAGAAUGCUAGUUUGUCUGUUGGCGCCAAUGAUGAUGAGAUCGAUGAAGGGAUGGACAGUGGCUACUUGCCUACUUGGAAACUGAAGAAUGUGUGUCAGAACGUGAUGUGGAAACAUCUGAAGGCACAUACUUGCAAACUGCAGAUGAUGACACAGGCUGUGACACGUCGUGAAUUAACGGGGUCACAAGCAGAAUUCCUAGUGAAAAGGAAUUGGUAUAGAUUGACAAGGAUACAUUUUUCCUCUGGUGAACUAGUCAAAAUGGGAGAGAAGAAGAAUGGAGCUCGACCAAUGAAUGAUGGAUCAGGUCAGCCGGCCUUGACGUAGAUCACAACUCGGAGGCUGCUAUACUCCGGCGCCGCCUCCAUGGCGUCGCUGAUGCUCAGGUGCGUCCUGCUGCCGUCCUUGCAGCCACGAGGAGCGCCGGCCGCUGUGUUUCACCCACCAUGUCGCGUGGCGUUGAGCGACAUGGGCACGAGGAUGAGCAGGCGGCAGCGGCGGCGGUUGCUCUGGGCGGCGCAUCCGCGCUGAGACCGUAUCGGCUCCGGAGAGCCGAACCCGAGCUUUGUAUGGGCCAUGCAUGCAAUGUGAUGGAGUUGGCUCGAUGGUGAUGACCAAGAAAGUCCGGUCCUUGCCUGACAACACGGUGUAUGGUAUGAUCAGAUUGAUUGAUCACGCACGCACCGAGCUGCAUGUUGUAGUUGAAUGGAAUUUGAUGAUUGAUUGACAGACUGUAAUAUGUAGUAUCUCCUAGUCCUAGUA